rnacentral:lncRNA from 1 species
UUUUUUUUUUUUUUGGUUCCAUGUUGAUGGCUGCUUCAAGUUGGCGAGGUCAGUGCCACCCCACCAGGCAUUGAGUACAUGUAACACAGGACGAAAACAAAGCAGCAUUCAUAGUAUUCCGAUCAUGAUGGUUCUAACAAAAACGCAGUGAGAGUAGUUCGACAUCAAUAAUCAAACGCGAAAUAAUAUAGUUGAUAGUUUAUGCAAAUAUACUGUAACCAUUCGACGCUAGAAGGCUAUUGAACCAGCUGCAUCAACGAAUCACGCACGCGAUAGAUUGACAAUUGCAGAUUCCCUAGGCUGGCCUUCCAUCUUGCACUGCUCCUGGAGUAGGGCUGCACCAAGCACUGAGCUCCAGCCGAGUGUUAAAACAUUUGAGUCGAAUUCGAGUAUCUAUUUGUUAGACUCGAUUACUCAAAGAGCCGCUCGAAAAGCUAGAGUUGACGUAAAAUUAUAAAAAUGCUCCUAUAUCAAUUAAAAUCGAGCUGAUUUCGAACUCCUUGCGAGCCAAAAUAUUAAGCUGACAUCUCGAGUUAGAAAUUGAGCCAAACUCGCGAGUCAGAAACGAAUCAAGUUUGAAUUUUUCUUUUCUUAAAUCGAGUCGAGCUCUAGUUUCAUUUUUAUUUUUUUUUGACUCGAUGAGCUCGCACAUUAACAAUUUCAAAUUGACUCGUUUGCAGUUCUAUCCUGGAGUCACAAGUCACGACUACAUUCUCUUCUCUUUUUUUUUUUUUUGGUUGAAAAGCAACGCAAAAAGAUAAAUUUUGUUCACUUCUACUAUUUGACAAUGCAUAAGCGACGUCAAGGUAUAUUAUAUUGGAUACUCUCACAACAGGCACGGUUCCACACGUAAUGUAAAAGUGCUAUGCGUGCCUUGGGCUGUAAAUGAUGAAUUCUUGAAUUUUGACUUGUAUACAUGCAUAUUGAGUUUGAAAGGAAUUUCAGGGCCAAAAACCAUUGGCGGUUUCAUCUCUUUGUAGUAUAAUGCUACCAAUUUUUGUUCCUUGACAAGUAGAAUUUGACAAGCUAAUUAACAAUAAAUUAAAUGCGGAUCGACAAGAAGCUGUAAACUGAAUGGCUACUGGAAUGCACAACUGACUAGGGAGGGACGACAAGGAGAUGUUGGAUGCGAUUCUUUCAUAAAGUUAGUGUCACCACAAUCCGUUGCUGUCAAGAUGGCCGAGUGGUCCAAGGCGCCAGGCUUGUGAGAGGGGAUGUGGGUUCAAAUCCCACUUCUGACGAGUUUCUUCUUACCUUUUUAGCUAAGUCCCCCCAUGCGAACGAACGAAUCAAUGACACUGCCUCCAUUUCAUCCCUCUCGCUCAAUUCGAGUUUAUUGCCAAAAUAACUCUUCUUCUAGAAUAUAUACUUUUUUGACACUUAAUUUUAAAACUUAUUACCUUUGUGAUUCUUUUUUGCCACUUAGGCUGCAUAUGUGUCAGGAUAGAGAUAAAAACGUCUUUCAUUUCUCUUUCUCAUCUAAUAUUUUCUUCAAUUUUCUCUAUAAAGUUUCCCACAUUUUUUUCUUUCGUUAUCUUUCCCUUGUCAAACAUAAUUUAAGAAGCCAAUCUUUAUAUUAAUAGCAUCUAAAAAAUAUGUUUCGCAAGUCGAUAAUUUUAAGGUAGAUGAAGAUUAUUUUCGUCUUUUCAAAGAGUAGGAAGGAUAACAUAAACAAAUAUGAUAACCUUGAAAUUUUUGUAAUUGAUUACAAUUUUCGUUGCAAUUUUUGGUGCAAUUUUUGUAUUUUUAAAAUUAUUUUUUGAAAAAAUAUAUAUGCAAUAGGUUUGAUACAUUUAAAAAAAUUUGGAGACCAAUAAUAGUAAGGUCAAUAAUGGCAAAAUUUAUUUCAGAUAAUUAUAAGGAAAUUAUAAAAAUUAUGCAAUCUUCUUGUGCCUCUAUAAUAAAAAAAAUUAAAAUUUUAGUUAAUGUUAGAAACUAUAAUCUGGAUUAGAACUUUCUUUUUUGUUAUUCUACAUGGCAAUCAGGAUAAUUAGAUGGGAACAAUAAUAUCAUUAUGGUAAUAAAAUUUGAAAGUGAAUCACAUUGGAAAUAUUUUUUAGUAAGAGUGUUAUUUUGGCAAAAAACUCCGCUCAAUUCUAUGGUGUUUUCUUAAUUAGUCAGCUACUGUAGUAAUUGCCAUAGCAGUUUUAGCCUGUCCAAAAUUUUUAGUACGCUGGCUUCGAUUCACAUUCUCCUGAUCUUCACAAGCUGGCAUAUAACAGCGUCCCUAUUUGUAAUACAACCCGCAUACAUAUCGCAUAAUCUGCUUUUCAGCAGUAGCACCCAAAUUAACUCUUCAAAGCCCAAAGAAACAAAACAAUCCUCAUUCUGUGCUCAAUUCAAUAUGAGAGUGAGACAGAGAGUGAUAUAAAUUGAAGACAUGAAAUUUUAUUUCAUCAAAUCUAAGAAUACAAACCCAUUCCACAAACUAUGCAAGAGAAUUGAUGGUAGUAGACUCCUAGACCGUGCAUAAAUUACACCCAUCACAACCCCUAGAAAAUUAGUGGCAACAUUCUCUGUACAUUAAAAUGUGCUAAAGCAAAAGCAACAGAACUCAUUAGGACUGAACACCAGACGGGCAUGUAUUUAG